rnacentral:misc_RNA from 1 species
CAACCCUCAAGCCUUGGUUGCUUGGUGUUGGGGCAUCUACGGGUGAUCGUAGGCCCUGAAAGACAGUGGCGGGCUUGCUGUGAACCCGAGCGUAGUAAAACAUUUCUCGCUUAGGGGCCCAUGGCGGGUGUUAGCCGUUAAACCCCCUUAUUUUUACAAGG